GUCCCUUUACUGUAUUUAGAAUUUUUUUGUUGAUGCUAACCCUUUUCUCUCUUUCUAUGCAUGAAUCUGCCUCACCGAAUCCAUGGGACUCCAAUACUUGCAUCCCGUCGAGCAAAGCCCAUUCUUUCGAGUCAAAAAAAGAAUUAUUGCGCAAAAGCAGCUGCUGGUAUACACCAAUAUACGCCACAUAUACGGGCUUUACUGGACAAAAGUGGCUGGCAUAUGCUCAUAUAUGAUGCCUAAUGAAGCUGGAAGAAAGUCUACAGAUUUUUAUACACCGAUAUACAGUAUAUAUACAGAAAAAUAUUAUUUAUAACAAAAUUGACUUUAUAAUAAUAAUAGUAAAUAAUUUUUUUCAUAGAAAACAAACUUGUUCCCUUCUUUAGUCCAAGUGUGCAACCUAAUUUAAAGGGAAAAUGACACUCUAUGACCUUUUUAAAAAAUAAUAGCCCAAUUAUAGCCUAAGUUUGGCAUUUGGACAAAUAAUGUCCAGUCGGCUAAACAAAUGUCAUUUUAUGGCCAUUUCCUAAUCUUUCCCAAUUUGGGUCAUUUUGAUCCACAUAGUCCAUAUACGAUACUGAUACAGUCAAUAUACAAUACUGAUACAAUAUUCAACUUGGGCAAUUCGGCCCUUUUAAACAUAUUUCAAUUUUUUUUUACUAUAAAUUUUUAAAUUGAUCAAAUAUUCUGUUUUUUUUUAUUGUUUAGAAAUAAUAAUUAAAUUAUAUAAAAACGAUAUAAUUAUUAAAUAGAAUAUNNNNNNNNNNNNNNNNNNNNNNNNNNNNUAUGUACAAUAUAUAGAAAGUGUAUACAAAUUAUAUAAUUAUUGUAUAAAACGUGUAAAAAAAAUACAGUUAUUAUAUAAAUUAUGUAUCAAAACUGUAUAAUUUCAGUAUAGAAUAUUUAUGUAUAAGAUUUGUAUAAAACCUGUAUAAAAGUUGUGUAAAAUGAUAUAGACCAGUCAGUAAAUUAAAAUAGCUACAAAGUGGAAUAUAAAUUUCAUGGUCAUUUUCAAGAAAAUAGUUUAAUUUGAAGUGCAAAUGUACAAUUAUUAUAUAAAUUAUGUAUCAAAACUGUAUAAUUUUCGUAUAGAAUAUUUAUGUAUAAGAUUUGUAUAAAACCUGUAUAAAAGUUGUGUAAAAACGGUAUAGAACCAGUCAGUAAAUUAAAAUGGCUAGAAAGUAGAAUUUAAAUUCCAUGGUCAUUUUUAAGGAAAUAGUUUAAUUUGAAGUGUCGUUUCUGUCCUUUCCCCUAAUUUAAAUGGGUUUUUCUUUAAUUCAAAUAUUCAUAACUUAUUUUUUUUUCUCUUAAAAUUAUAAUUAUGAAUUAAGUAGAAUUUUCUCAAUUAGAAUAUUUCUUUUUUUUUUUCUUUCAAAUACUAACUUGUCGCAAUUAAUUAUGGAUUAAGUAAAAUAUUUCUCGAGUAGAAUAUUUUUUUGCAAUUUUCCUCAAAAAUUAACCAUGAAUUAAAUGAAAUAUUUUGUAAUUUGUCUCAAAAUUAAUAUCGGAUUAAUUAGGAUAUGUUGUAGAUUUUUUUUCCUAAUUCAAGCAAACUAUUUUUCGUUUGAAUAAACAAAUGUCAAUGUUAAAUGCAUAAAUAAUUUUAAAAUGAAAAAUUUUGACAAAGGUAGUCAUUUGUUUUAGUCAGUCGAAAAUGAUCUUUUGGUGAACCGUUUUAAACGGACGCUCCUUAGUGCCUCAAAAAUCUUCUUAGGGCGUUAAUUGAACUCUUACUCAGUUUCUCUAAUUUCGAAGGUUUAUUGCUAUUUUUAAAUCUUUGAAAUUUCUCCUUAAGUUUUCUUGAUAUUUUCUAUAAAAUUCAAGUGGUGACUUUGUAAAUUUUUUAAAAAAUUAUUUCAGAAUUUUCUUGAAUUUUUGAAAUAGUUUAAAAAGGUCAAAACCAUUUUCUUUAAGUAAAAUCUAAAAAGGGACAAAACAGACAUGACGACUCCGCUGGGGACUUGACUAGGUUCUAACCAAAUGUGUGGACUAACUUUAUUGACUAACUAUUCAGGUUGUAAUAUUUAAACUAUUUGUCUGCUUAUGUGUUUAGAUUUUUACAAAAUUUAAAUUGUUACAUUUCAUGCAUUCUUCCACAUUCAAAAUAUAUAAAUUGUUUGGGGUUUCGUGGAUGUCCCAACCCCUAUUGUUCAAUUCCAAAUCAAUUGUUGAAAAUACAAUAGUUUAUUGGCACGUUAGGCAUCCGAUGACUGUUCGUAUUUCUAAACCCGAGUCGUCCGCUUGGAAACCUGGUGAAUGCCCACUCUAGACACCUAGAAUAGAACAAGACCAAAAUCCUCUUUUAGGCAUGAGCCUAGGAUGGUCCAAUUAGAAAACCGACCUUAUGUCUAUUGACCACGAGUCAAUCACAGACAAAUCAUACUUAUGUGUUGAAGGAGUACAUGUUAAUUAAUUUAAUCUAUUAUCCCUUGGGGUAGGGCAAAGGUCGGGAACAUCUAGACAAUAACGUUUUCUUCUUUUAUCCCCUGCAUGUGACCUUGUUAUUUUUUGUCAUAAUAUCUCCAUGUUCGUAUAAACUUGUAAAUUAAUACAUGCUAAGUAUAAAUGACUCAUAUUGGCUAGAAUAACUGAAAGAUAUAAAUCAUGAAUCAUGAGUGAUAAAACACACUGAAUAAAUCUUAUAAGUCAUAAAACUUAGUUCUGAAAGGUAUACUAGUAUUCUAUUUUCGAAUCACACAUGCUAAGUGUAAAAGGACUCACCUUUGUAUCUGUAAACUGAAAGUUGAAAUCUAGUAGCUAAUGACUUAUAUAAAACAAUAUCUACACAAAAUCGAGAGCCUUUACACUUAGUUUCAAAAAAACUUUUCUAUUAUUCUUUACUCUUUUUUGUAGGCUUUACGGAGGUUCUUCUAACCGACAUAAAUCAUGUGAGCUAACAUGGAGUCCAACAUCUAGUUCCCUUAUGGGAAAACCUCAUGUUAGGGAGAGGUUUCAUACUCUUGGUAAGGGGUAUAACCUAAUCUAAGUGAUCAUAUUUGUAUCUGUCAUCCAUAUAGAAAUGGAAAUAAUCUGAUAAUUUGACCCUACGUUGGCUUGUAGUUCUUGGGCAUGUGAACAUACCAAACUCGGUGCUAAAUACUACUCCCUUUAAUCUGUAUGCUCAUUCUAUAGGAAAUCCACUUUAAAAACUAGCAUAAAGGUUUAUAAUGAAAACCAAUUAUGUAUUUUUUUGUUUUAAACUGUAAUUAAACUAAUCUAUUUUCUAUAAACUGUAAUGAAACUAUAAAGUAGAUUCCAUAUCUUAACUAAGGAUCAAAAGAUCAAAUCUUUAUCAAAAUCUAAAAAUAAACUAAUCAUAUGGUACUUAAAGUACAGUCCUUCUUGACAUAUCAAUAUUCAACUAGGGCUUAAUAACCCAUGCAUCAAAUUCAUGUCAAAUCAUCAUAAAUUUCAUGCUUAAUAAUGAAACACAAUCCAAACCAAUUCUAGAAGCAUCACAAUAUACAACGAACCCAUCUAUACCAUUACCUAGUGCUAAAAUAGGGGCUGAAGUGAGUCGAGUCUUCAACUCCUAAAAAAUCUUCUCAUAGGAAUCUAACCACGAAAACUUAACUUUAUUCUGAGUUAAUCUAGACAUAGGGGAUGCAAUAGAAGAAAAACUUUCAACAAAAUGUCUGCAAUAUCUAGCUAAACCCAAGAAACUUCUAAUGUCUAAUAGAGAGAUAGGUCUAGGAUAGUUUCUUACUGCUUCUGUCUUUUGGGGAUCAACUGUAAUGCUAUCACUGAUAACAAUAUGACCAAGGAAAGCUACUAAUCUCAGCCAAAAUUCACAUUUGCUGAAUUUGGCAAACAACUAGUGAUCUCUAAUAGUUUGCAACACAAUUCUAAGAUGGUCUCCUUACUACGAGAAUAGACAAGAAUAUCAUACAUAAUAACUAUGAAAAACAUGUCCAAAUACUAUUUAAACACUCUAUUCAUCAAGUCUAUGAAGGCUGCUGGGGCAUUUGUCAGGUCAAAGGACAUGACUAGAAACUCAAAAUGACCAUAAUGGGUUCUAAAAAGCUAUUUUUAGAAUAUCACAUUCCCUUACUCUAAGCUGAUGGUAGACGAAUCUAAGGUCUAUCUUGGAAAAAUAACUUACACCUUGGAGUUGAUCUAAUAAGUCAUUAAUACUAGGAAGAGGAUAUUUGUUUUUGAUCGUGACUUUAUUCAGCUGACGAUAGUCAAUGCACAUUCAUAACAACCAUCCCUUCUUGGAAAAAUAACUUGCACCCUGUUUCCUUUCUUAGCAUAAGGACACUCUUUGAUUUCAUGUCCCAACUUACCAAAACCAUAACAACCUUUAUGUCCCAACAAACACUCACCAAGAUGAUUCUUACCAACAUGGAGGAUAACUGGGUUUUCCGCUCACACUAUUCUGAGAUCUGGACAUAGAAGUCUUACCUCACUACUCCUGUCUAGCUCUGAAGGUGGGAGAACUGGAUGAAGAUGGCACUGGCAUAGAUGAAAAAUUCUGAAAUUGAAAACAGUUUCCCCCUCCAAACUUUGUCUGGCCAUAAUUAAACUGCCCAGUUCUAGCCUUUCUAUUUCUCCCCUCUCUCCCCUUUAACUUUUCUGCCUCAAUCUAUUGAGCAUGAAUCAUCAGUGUAGUAAGAUCCAUAUCCCAAUAAGUAUGCCAGUCCUACACUCCUUGUCUACCAAACAAGAUACUCUAGUAACAAACUUACUCAUACUCUCCCUAGGGUCAACCAUCGUAUUAGGGACAUACUUAGACAACUGAUUUAACUUAAGGCAGUACUUUCUUGUUGUCAUCGAGCCCUACCUCAGGUUCAUAAACUCCUAUACCUUAUCUUCUCUCAUUUCACAUGGAAAGAACCUGCCUAUAAACACAUCCUGAAACACCUAUCAAUUCAUAAGAGCUGUAUUCUCACCUCUACCAUUCUUCCAUAUAACCACCCAAUCAUACGCCACAUCUUUAGUCUAUAGAAUACCAACUCUACACUCUCCUCUUUAGUAACAUGAAUAAUCUGGGUGAUCUUUAUUAUCUCAACUAAGUAAAGCUGUGGGUCCUUACUUAUUUUUGAACCGAAGAACUCAGGUGGAUUCUCUCUCAUAAAGUCAUAAAUUCUGGCUGCUGCUAAAUCACCAUUCUACUGAAGUGGGACUACCGCCUGAUGGUUUCCCUGAACAUUGGCAGUUACAUCUUGGGUUGACGCCUGAAAGGUAGCCCAAAAUUUAUCAUGGGAUACAUUCUUAUUCAGAGGGUCAGCAGGUUAGGUGGUUGGUUGUCAUUUCUGCGUGUAUUAGCUCAACAAGGAGGCAUAUUCAACUAUCAUGUAAGAGCAUGAGUUAAAAGCAGAUAGAGACACUGUAAGCACCAUAAAUCAUGAAAGAAAGAGAUGAUUUCCUAAAAAUAUCUCAUAGCUUCUUGCUCAUAAAUGGGGCGCGCUUCACACCCAUGAUCAGGACUCUAUGUAAUGCGGCUUGUCUGACUCCCUAGGAUUCUUAUAACCUUAGGCUCUGAUACGAAGUUUGUAAUGCCUCGAAAAUGGGUCUCGCUAUGUCACACGGUGUUCAAGACUACGAGUAGCCUUAAGCUAACCCUGUAAGCCUUCUACAAAAUUUAUAGCUCAUAAUAAAGAAAUAUAGAUACAUAAUCAAAGCUAAAAUGUGGAAUUCUAUCUGAGUUAAGCUGAAAUUAUUUGGACAUGAUAUCUGAAAAUAUUAGACUUAAAAGUCUGAACAAUCAACACUAGAAAUUUGAAUCAUAACUAGCAAUAUGACAAGCCUCUACUACUAAUAACUUAGAGAUCCACUGGGACAAGCCCCCACCUGACUCGAUCUGACUAAAAAUACUGAAUCAACUACUAUAAUUAACUAGAAAUUCUGAAUAAUUAGGUUCCUAAACUAUGGGGACUCACCAACUUUUGAGAUGUAGAUGGAGAUACUCGAAAUCACUCAUGCUGAUAAAACUAAGCACAUGAACCUACAUUAUGAGACAAUGUAUCACAUAGACGUAUAUGUAGAUCAGUACUUCUGGAAUGUACUGAGUAUAUGGGGGUGAAUGCAUAGUUAAAAUAAUAUCUCAAAGUCAUAUAAACUUGUAAAGUAAUACAUGCUAAGUAUAAAUAACUCACAUUGUCUGGAAUAACUGAAAGCUAUAAAUCAUGAAUCACGAGUGAUAAAACAUACUGUAUAAAUUUUAUGAGUCAUAACACUUAGUUCUUAAAGCUGUACUCAUAUUCUAUUUUCAAAUCAUACAUUCUAAGUGUAAAAGAACUCACCUCUGUAUUUGUAAACUGAAAGCUAAAAUCUAGUAGAUAAUGACUUAUAUAAAACAAUAUCUUAACAAAACUGUGAGCCUUUACACUUAGUUUUAGAAAAACUUUUUUGUUAUUCUUUACUCUUUUCUGUAGGCUUUAUGGAGGUACUUAUAACUGACAUAAACCAUGCGAGCUAACAUGGAGUCCAAAGUUUAGUUUCCUUAUGGGAAAACUUCACAUUGGGGAGAGGUGUCAUACUCUUGCCAAGGAGUAUAACCUAAUCUAAGUGAUCACAUUUGUAUCUGUAAUCCAUAUAGAAAUGGGAAUAAUCUAAUAAUCAGAACCUACAUUUGCUCAUAGUUCUGGGGAAUGUGAACAUACCAAACUCGAUGCUAAAUACUACUCCAUUUAAUCUAUAUGCUUAUUCUAUAGGAAAUCUACCUUAAAAACUAGCUAAGCGUUUGUAAUGAAAACUAAUUAUACAUCUGUCUGCUUUGAAUUGUAAUCAAACUAAUCUAUUUUUUGUAAGUUGUAAUGAAACUGUAAAGUGGAUUCCAUAUCUUAACUGAGAAUCAAAAGAUCAAAUCUUUAUCAAAAUCUAAAAAUAAAAUAAUCAUAGGGGGCUUAAAGCAUAGUCCUUCUUGAAAUAUCAAUAUUCAACUACGGCUAUGCAUCAAAUUCAUGUCAAAUCAUCAUAAAGUUCAUGAUUAAUAAUAAAAUCAUUGAUAAUACAAUUCUAAUUAUGGAAAUUAAUGUCAUACGCAUGAAAAUACAAAAGUAGACGUGCAAUUCAUCAUAUAAAUCGCUUACAAUCUCAUAAUCUUUUAAUAGUAAUAAGUGGGUAUAAACCCUAAACUGAAAUACAUAUAAUUUCAUGUAAAAAUUAAUUUUAAAACUAAUUUUAGGCACAAGGAUGAAAGAAUUGUCCUUAUUGAAAGCCCCACAUGCCUUAAUUGAUGAAUAAUUGAAGAAUCUUGAACUUUGAGUUCCUCUUUAUGCUCUUGAAAAUUGAUUCUUGAAGUUCUUGAAUUGGAAAUCGUGAAUUUUGGGUUAUCUUGGAAAAAAGAAUGGUGAAAUUUAGAGUUCUUGAGGAUUGAAAUUUGAACCUUUAGGGUUCCUUGGAGAUAAAUCUUGUGAAAUGUAAGCGUAUAAUGCAUAGAAUAGGCUUGAUCUUGUGUUUUACAUAAUUUGGGGGCUUGGGAAAUGACUAGGUUACCUUUUUUAAAUAUUAGUUCGGAACUGGAAAUCCUGAUGUUGGGCCUCAAUGCGAUGCACUACUUAUCACAGUGGCUUACUGGAAAAAGGGAUGAGUGUGAUUCUUCACCAUGGUGUGAUGCGGCAUAAUUGCGUUGCAUCACUGGAAAAGAAUGAGUUCCAUUUUGCACUCCACCGCAACACGGUGCUAUGUUCCACUGCAAUUCCUGGUGUGACACUAGCCAAUAUGGUGAGCUACUCGAAAAGGACGAGUGGGAAUUCGGACUUCAUCGUAAAGUGAGCUAAUCACGAUGCUUCACUGGAAAUCAGACAAUUCCAAUUUUGCACCUUACCACAAUGUGGUGCUAUCACAGUGUUAUACUGUUUUUCACUAAAAUCACCAUAAUUUCUCAACUGAGUGUCAUAUUAAGGUAAAAUUGGUAUCAUUGAAAAGAUGAUUCAAUUAACUACACACUGUUGGGUCUAGAACUGGAAAAUUCUACACGUAUCAAGAGUUAUUCAUUUUUAACGUUGACCCUUGACAUUCUAAGAGCUAAACUGAUCUAGGAAAAGUAUGGGGUAUUAUAGCUUAUUAUUCUAUUAUUUUGAUACAACUGUCUUAUGUGAUAUAAUUGUUAUAUGUGCGUUGUUGAAUCAAAGGUAAAUUGAUGUACUUUUCAACAAAGUUUUAGAAACCCUGUAGGCAAGAUAUAUGCCUACCAUCCAAAGUCCACCCAAAACAUUCCAGGACUCAAGUCUCCUAGAAAAAGUCCUCAAACAGUCUUCACUAACUUUCUUUUUUAAACACAUUCCAAGUGUUUUAGAAAAAAUCAAUCAUGGAUUCAAGGAUCACUCAACUGAAAAGACGGGUAGUGAAAUUAGUCUAAGUACAAAAAAUGCUAAAAGCAGGGACCGAGAGAGUGGUUAGGAAGAUCAAUCAACUAGACAAGGAAAUUACUAAAGUCAAAUAAUUUAUCACACAAGAAAACAAAAUUUUGAGCAUAAAAUUAAAGAUCUGACUGAAAGCUAUAAGAAAGAAGGUGUGGGACAAGCCUCACCUUCAAAUGCAAGGAAAUGGAUGAGUUGAAAUUUCCUUCAUAUCGCCCAUGUAUGUUCAAGACAUGGAAGAAACAGAAUGAAGUGGGAAUGCCCGCUUCUAUCUAGGACUUAUCCAUUAGUUUAGCCAUUAGUUGUCCUUUUUGUUGUUAUUUUCCUUUUAUGAUUUCCUGAUGUAAUGAACUCUAAUGAGAUUUCAAUGAAAUGAAGUUUUAUCCUUGUCUGUUUUAACUACAUGCGGCCUGAUUUAUCCUUUGUGUGAUACGUAGGCAGCCUUUUGGCUCGACCCCUAUCCUUUAAAACCAUUAAUACUUCAUUUUGUCAGGGAAAGUUAUAUGAAUCCAAAAUUAAUAGAAUUGGCAAAAGUCCUGUUAAAGACUUACUUAUCCAAAGAUCAAUGAACAAAGUCCUGUUCGUUAAUUCCUUUUGAGUCGAUAUCUACACGUGGAUCAAUUUACCUAAGAUAAAAAUAACGUUAUAUCAGAUAUCUUGCAUUACUUACCACUAAUGGGAUCUAACAUAUUUACCUUUGGAGUUUUUUUUACUUUAUCAGGUAAUUAAAUAAGUAGAAAUUGAUCUAUGUUAACAAAAGAUGAUUGAACAUCAAUACCUCCAAGGAGAGAAACAUUCUUCCCUUGAUUGCCUCUUAGUUGCUAAAGAAGAAGGAAUGAUUGGUAAUAGUGAUGAAAAGGUAAAGAAAUUAGUUCCACUUUACCAGCCAUCCUCUAUAUCUUUAAUGCCUAUAAACGAUGGUCUCGAGGAUGGAAUAGGGAACUUGUUCGAAGAGUGGGAUGCUAUUAUAGAAGAUUAUCCUAAGAAGAUCGAGGUCAAGAAAGAUGAAUUAGGGAAAAAAUUGUCAAAUUGGACUUCCACUCCAAUCAUGACUCCCCAAUUGAUGUGGUAGAUGAAAGGAUGAAAUUUAAAUUUUGCAAAAUCGGUGGUAGUUCGAAUGAGGCUCGAGACCAACCCUUUAAGUUUUAUUUACCCCAUUUUUACUUUUUAUGUUUCCCAAAAGGCUCAAACCCGUAUUGGUGUAGAUCAUAACCAAUAUUUGUAAUGUUUUAAAUUUCAAUGAAAGCCUCCGUUAUUACAAAGAUAUUUUUACUUACUUUUACUGCACUAUUCGGUCGCUAUAAUCUAACUUAUGUCAUUUAUGACUUCAUUAAUAAUAACUUAAAACCUACUAAUGGCAUGUCAUGUCAAGAGCUAAAUGAAAAAAUCGAGGAAAGUAUUGAUGAAUGGGAGGACUAUUAUGAAGAAAUAAUGACUCAGACCGAUUAAUAGAGGAACUGAAAGAGUUUGAGGAUUGAGAAAAACCCAAUCUAGAGGAUACUGAGGUAGUUAAUCUAGGUAAUGAUGACGAAGUAAAAGAAGCUAGAAUAAGUGUUCAUCUUAUAGAAACACAGAAAAGGGAACUUAUUCGGUUUCUUAAAAAAUACAUUAAUAUGUUCGUUUGGUAAUAUGAUGACAUGCCAGGAUUGAGUACAAAUAUUGUAUUGCACAAGUUGCCAAUUGAUCUGGGGUUUAAUCCUGUUAAGCAAAAGCGGCAGAAAUGUAAGCCAGAUAUGAGUCUAAAAAUAAAGAAAGAAGUCACUAAGGAAAUCUAGCCAAUAUUGUUCCAGUUCCAAAGAAGGAUGGAAAGGUUGGGAUUUGUAUCGAUUAUAGAGAUAUAAUCAAAGUCGGUUCUAAACAUAAAUUUUCAUUACCCAACAUCCACAUUCUUAUUGACAACUGUGCUGGGCAUGAAAUACAGUCAUUCUUGGACUAAUUUGCGGGGAACCAUUAGACACUGAUGGACAAAGAAGAUGCAGAGAAAAUGGUUUUCAUCACACCUUGGGAUGUUGAUGUAUGAGCAUAUGCUAACACAUUUAAGGCUUUUAACUGAGAAUAAUUACAAGGUCUAAAGCAACUUUUGUCAUUUUUGAUUGUUUUAUAUUUGAUUUUACAGUAGAAGCCAAGAUGCAAGAGAACCAACAAGGAUGGAAACAAAAGAGUUGAAAUCUAAAACAAAUAGAAAAUAAGUGUGUCUGACGACAUUCCUGAUAAGUCGUCAGCCAUGUGAUAAGUUAUUAGAGAUACUAUCAGCCUUAGAUAGUGAAUGGACCUCAGCUAAAAGUUAUGAUGCCAUUCCCUAAUAAGUCAUCAAAGAGUUGAUAGGUCAUCAGUUUUCAUCGUCAACCUUAAGCAGGAAGUGCUAAAACUGAAGAAGGAGCUGACGACAUUUGUAAUAAGUCGUCAGACUCCUGAUAAGGUGUCACGAAUAUCAUCAUCUAAUUUGAGAAAUUGCUGAACUCUGUGAUUUUGUUUCCAUAAUUAGGGUGAACUAUUUAAAGCAUAGUUUAGGGUUUUCUAAUAUUGAUUCCGAACCUGUUUUGGGACACACGUAUAUUGUUACUUUUCUCUCUAGUUUCUUGGCUUGAAAAAUAGUUAACUUUGAAGAGAUUUUCAUCAAUAUUUGGUAUUCCUAUUGUGAUCUAAUAUGAGAAUCACUAGUUACUAUUCAUCUUGUGGUAAGUUCAGCUUUCAAAUUAUUAAUACAUCUAGUUGUUUCGCUUAUUACAUUAUGAGUGGCUAAAUCUCUUUAACUCGAAUUAUGGGAUCUAUGGGUUAAGUCUUGAUAAUAUUCUAAGUGUUUAAGAUUCUAAAGGUAAUAGAACUCCUUUAUAAUUUUGAGAUUUUAAUUAUUGUCUAUUGGUUUCAAACGAUAGAUAGCACCUGCUUUGAUUUGCUUUAGAUAAGAAAUCAAAUAUAGUAAGAAGUGAAUUAUUGACAGGGAAUUGGAAGCACUAAACUUCCAUUUAAUAAUUGACGCUGUAACAAGGUUUAUUAACCUGAGGUAAAGUCUGGUUAGUAAAUAUAAAUUCCCUAAGUCUGAGAGGAUUAGGUAGUUAAAUGCUUAAGUAGGUCGAGAGACAUUUAGGCAUAACUUCGAUAAAGAUAAUCUGUUGUCCUACCUACUGUGAGAAACUUGAAUCACUAUUAGCAUCUAUCAAGUACUAAAACCCAUAGUGAACAUAAUUCUUGUUUUCCAUAAACUCUUGAUUACAAACACUGAAACAAAAGUGACCAACAAUUAUUGAGUAAUCUCCAAAACCCUCAUUUCAAAAAAUAUCCAACUAUCAGUUGAUUAAAUCGCAAACAACUUAUGUUCACACUAUAUUCACUGUAGGAUUCAACCCUAACCUAGUUGGGUUAUAUAUUGAUAACAAUUGCUUACAUUCUCAUUAGAGAGGUGUAGUUUGAGCAUUAUCAAACAUGGCAUCUUUGCUAGGGAAUAUGGUUGUAAAUUGAAGUUUGUGUGCGCUAAUUGACUGUUAGUCAAGUUUCCUAGUUUACGUUUACUUGUUGUUUUGUUUAUUGUAGGAUAUUUGUAGUGUAUGCCAAGAACCAGAAGUUCUAGAUAACUAUUAUUACCAUUUAAUCUGGAACCACAAUAAAUUGGAAGAAUGGCAGACCAGCAGGAGGCUGAUAAGUUAGCAGCCUUAGCUAGAGUUCAGGUGAAUAUGCAAAAUAUCGAUCAAUAAGUAUGACAACCAAAUCCUGAGGAUGAAGAUUUGGGAGAAGAGGAGUUGUUAAACCCUGGUAUCCCAAGGCAUGCAGAGCAAGUUGUUGCACCAGUACAGCGUAAUGCUAACAAAAACUAUCCAUUUUGAGGAAGGCAAGAUUACCAUUAGGUCCAGUAUGACCUCAAUGAUAAUGAUAAUAGAAUGGAUAGAGCAGGUGCAAAGGGUGCAAUUAUUUCUCCACCGUUGGUACCUGGGGAAAAAUUCUACAUUACGAGUACUAUGAUUCAACUCCUCAAUCUGAAGGGGUUAUUUGGUAGCCUUCCUGGGGAUGACCCCAACUUACAUCUGGUGAACUUUAUCACCAUCUGUAAAUCUUUUGAUAAACCAGGAGUAGGUCAGAAUGUUAUCCGAUUGAGAUUGUUUUCAUUGUCUCUUUCUGGGGCGGCAAUAUUAUGGCUUAAUGAGCUGACACCCAAUUCUAUAACCAACUGAAGGCAGUUGAAAGUAGCUUUCCUAGAAAGUUUCUUUCCACCUUCCAGGAGGGUACACUUGAGGGAUGAGAUCAGUAACUUUAGGCAGCUAAAGGCAGUUGAAAGUAGCUUUCCUAGAAAGGUUCUUUCCACCUUCCAGGAGGGUACAGUUGAGGGAUGAGAUCAGUAACUUUAGGCAGCUCCCAACUGAAGCCUUUUAUGAAACCUAAAAGAGAUUCAAAAAGAAGCUGAUGCAGUAUUUGAACCACAAUAUGAUGGAUAUACACUUGAUGGAGACUUUGUACAGGGCUCUUAACUCUGUUACAAAACCAAUUACAGAUAAUACUUCUGGUGGUUCGUUUGUUGAUAUUACAUUUCUAGAGGCUUCAAAAAUACUAGAGAGAAUGACCAAACAGAGUCAGGCAUGGCAUACCAGAGACUCUGUGGUAGCCAACCCCAUUAUUUUUAUGGGUAUGAUUGUGGAACAACGCAGAAGAAACGAGGAGCAUAACCAAGACACGGAUCACCUAAAAAUAUAGAUGGACUGAGAAGGUGAAAGCUGUGGGAUCUCAAGAUUAAGCUGAUGCUGAUCCAGAAGAAGAGGCAAACUUUGUUAAUAAUUAGGGAGGUUUCUGAGGCAAUAGCCAAGGGAAUUAAGUUCGAAGUUAUUAUGAUAAUCCUGGUUAUAAGGAUAGGGAGUAGGGAAAUUAGAGGAGCAAUAAUGAUAAGAGUGGGCUAUAUGUCCCUCUUGGAAAUCGUGAGGCUGCUACAACAAGUUCUGAAAAGAUGUCCAUGGAGGACAUGAUGGCUAAGUUGCUGAAGGGAGUGGAGGCUACCAACUCUGGUGUGGCAACCAUGAAGACCGAUCUGUCAUCUAUUAGUCAGUUGGUAAACUUACACUCCACCAUAAUUAAAAACUUAGAGCAGCAGAUGAACCAACUCUCUGCAAUAUUUAACUAGAGAAAGAGUGGAACAUUACCAAGUGAUAUGGUUCGGAAUCUAUAGAAUGAUGGCUCAUGUAUAGCGAUUACCACUAGAAGUGGUAAGAUAUUACCUGGCCCUUCUGUGGGCAAAAGUUUGGUUGAAGAUAUGACUGAGGUAGAGGACGAUCCCAAAGAAGAAUGUCCAAUGGUGUCUGAGAAGCUGGAUGGUUCUGAUGAUGCUCUGAAAAAUGGAAAGAGAAGGAGAAGGAGGUAGUGUUGAAAAAUCUCCCAAGAAUACCACCUCCCUUUCCUCAAAGAUUGAAGAAAAAAAUUGAUGAUGCAAAAUUCUGCAAGUUCAUUGCAAUGCUAAACAAUUGACAAUAAAUGUACCUUUGGUGGAGGCACUCGAGCAAAUGCCAGGAUAUGCUAAAUUCAUGAAGGACCUUGUGACUAAGAAAACAAUAGUGAGCUAUGAACCGGAGGAUAAUCUCUAUCAUUGUAGCUCUAUUUCUACGAGGACCUUGGUGCAGAAAAAGCCAGACCUAGGAGCAUUCACUAUUCCCUGUACAAUUGGGACUAUGGAAUUCGCUAAGGCAUUAUAUGAUCUGGGAGCGAGCAUUAAUUUGAUGUCACUGGCUGUAUAUAGAAAUUUAGGUCUGGGAAAUCCCAUACCCACCAACAUGUGACUUGUGAUGGCAGAUAGGUCAGUAAAACUAUCUGUUGGUAUUUUCUAUGAUGUGUUGGUAAAGGUAGCUAGCUUCAUAUUCCCUAUAGAUUUUGUUAUUCUGGAUUGUGAGGUAGACUUUGAGGUGCCCAUAAUCUUGGGUCGAGCUUUACUUACAACCAAAAGUAUAUUGAUUGAUUUGAGAGUGAAUGAGCUCUUAUUCAGGAUGAAUGAUGAAGUGGUAUGAUUUGAUGUGUGCCAAUCAAUGAAGCAGCAUGAAGAAAUAAGUGUGUUCUCAAUAGUUGAUAUGUAUUAUGAGGAUGAACAGAGGGUGUCAAUAGAUGAGCAACUUGUUGUCAAGCCUUUAGCCGUAGUUUUGAUGAAUUUUGAUUGUGAAGGCAUUGAGGAGUACGAAGAGACUAUUUGUGCUUUGUCAGGAUUGGGUUCAUAUCCUUAUGCUCCUUAAAAGCUAGACCUUGAUCUUGAUAAUCGACCAACACCACCGGCUAAGCCAUCCAUUAAAGAGCUACAGAUGUUGGAAUUGAAAGAACUUCCUGGGCACUUAAGGUACGUGUUUUGGGGCAAUGAAAACACGCUACCCAUUAUUAUUGUGGCUGAUUUGGACAAGCAAAGAGUAGAAGAACUUAUUUCAGUACUUUAGAGAAACAAGAGAGCAAUAGGAUGGACCAUCACAGAUAUUAUUGGCAUUCCCCAUGGCAUCUGCACGCAUAAAAUACAACUUGAGAAAGAUUAUAUCCCAACCAUCGAGCACCAGUGCCGUCUUAAACCACCAAUGCAAGAGGUUGUCAAGUAGGAAAUUAUUAAGUAGUUGGGUGCAGGAGUGGAUUACCCUAUUUCUGACAGCAAAUGGGUGAGCCCAGUUCAAUGCAUGCCCUAAAAAAGGGGCAUGACUGUGUUUGCAAAUGAAAGAAAUGAGUUAAUUCCACUCAGGCCUAUGACUGGGUGGAGAUUUUGCAUAGACUACUGCAAACUAAAUUCAUGGACUUUGAAAAACCACUUCUCGAUUCCUAUAAUAGACCAAAUGCUUGAUCGAUUGGCUAGAAAGGGAUGGUAUUAUUUCUUGGAUGGUUAUUCUGGAUAUAACCAGAUCUGCAUUGCUCCUGAAGACCAGGAGAAGAUAACAUUCAUAUGUCCAUAUGGCACCUUGGCAUUUAAGAGGAUGCCAUUUGGGCUAUUCAAUGCACUCUCUACUUUUCAAUGGUGCAUGAUAUCUAUCAUCUCAGAUAUGGUAGAGGACAUCAUAGAGGUAUUCAUGGAAUAUUUCUCUAUGGUGGGAGAUUCAUUUGAGAUGUGUUUGACAAACUUGAGUAUAGCCUUGCAACGAUAUGUUGAAUUCAAUUUUGUGCUUAACUAGGAGAAAUACCACUUUAUAGGAAAAGAGGGCAUCAUUCUUGGGCACAAAAUUUCAGCAAAAGGGAUAGAAGUUGAUCGAGACAAGGUUGAAGUUAUUGAGAAACUACCACCUUCCAUUUCAGUGAAGGGAGUAUGUAGUUUUCUGGGACAUGCUGGCUUUUACCGGAGGUUUAUAAGAGACUUCUCGAAGGUUGCAAAUCCACUUUGCAAACUUUUGGAGCAAGAAGUGAAGUUUUCCUUCGAUGUUAAUUUCUUGAAGGCGUUUGAAUGCCUUAAAAAGAAGCUAGUGGAGACCCCUAUCAUUGCUGCACCAGACUGGUCAAAAUCAUUUAAGAUCAUGUGUGAUGCAAGCGGUGUUUCCCUUGGAUUUGUAUUAGGACAAAAGAAAUACAAAUGUUUCAUCCAAUAUACUAUGCCAGCAAAGCACUGAAUGGAGGACAAAAGAACUACACUGUCACUGAGCCGGAACUCCUGGCCGUAGUGUAUACUUUUGAGAAAUUCAGGGCUUACCUGUUUGGGACCAAGGUAGUGGUCCACACUGACCAUGCAACCUUAAGGUAUUUGAUGGCUAAGAAGGAAGCAAAACCAAGGCUGAUUAGAUGGGUGUUGCUGAUACAAGAAUUUGACUUUGAAGUAAAAGAUAGAAAAGGUUGUGAAAACCAGGUUGCAGAUCAUCUGUCUUGAAUGGAAGGUGAGUAGGAAAUUAGUAAUGAAAUGGAGAUAAAUAAUACAUUUCCUGAUGAGGAGAUCUUCGUUGUUUUUAUGAAGAAAUUGCCUUAGUACGCUGAUUUUGCAAAUUAUGCUGUAAGUGAGGUCAUUCUAGAAAAUCUUUCUUUCUAUCAAAGAAAGAAAUUCCUGCAUGAUGUGACACAUUACUUUUGGAAUGAGCCGUAUCUUUUUUGGUGAUGUACUGACAAUAUUAUAAGGAGAUGUGUGCCAGAAGUGGAUGUAUUAUGCAUAUUGGAAGCAUGUCAUGCUUCCCCAGUUAGAGGUCACCAUGCAGGUGACCGGAUGGCUAGGAAGGUAUUGCAAAGCGGCUACUAUUGGCCAACAUUAUUCAAGUAUGCUCACGAUUUUGUGCUAAAAUGCGACUAAUGUCAGAUUCAAUGUUCAAUCUCCAAAAGACAUAAGAUGUCUUUGACUAAGAUUCUUGAAGUGGAAUUGUUAAACAUCUAGGGCAUCAAUUUCAUAGGUCCUUUUGUAAGCUCGUAUGAUAUGAAGUAUAUUUUAGUUGAUGUUUACUAUGUCUCAAAAUGGGUCGAAGUUGUUGCCUUGUCUGAUAAUGAAGGAAAAAGGGUUGUUGCUUUUCUCAAGAAGAACAUCUUCUCUCGCUUUGGAGUACCACGUACUAUUAUAAGCGAUGGAGGAUCUCAUUUUUGCAACAAAGUGUUUUGGGUGGCUUUAGUAAAAUAUGGGGUAAACCAGCAUAGAGUAGCCACUCCGUAUCACCCAUAAAUAAAUAGGCAAGUAGAGGUGUCAAAUCGAGAGAUUAAAGUUAUCCUAGCCAAAACGGUGAAUGCUAGUUGGAAAGACUGGUCUCGGAAGCUCGAUGAUGCCUUGUGGGCAUAACAGACUGCUUUCAAGACACUCAUUGGCAUGUCACCAUUUCAUUUGGUCUAUGGAAAGGCAUGUCACUUACCAAUAAAGCUGGAGCACAAGGCCUUAUGGGCAUUCAAAAGGUUGACUUUGAGUUGGAAGGACGCAGUAGAGAUGAGAAUGGGACAACUGAAUGAGAUGGAUGAAUUCCAUCUUAGGGCAUAUGAACGAGCAUAUCAAUAUAAAUAAAAGAUGAAAAAGUAUCAUGAUUGGAGGAUAGAGAAAUGAGACUUUCAAAAAGGUGACUUGGUGCUUCUGUUCAAUUCUAGACUCAAACUGUUCCCAGGUAAGCUUAAAUCUAAGUGGUCAGGCGUAUUUAGAGUUAGUCAAGUCUACUCAUAUAGAGUAGUAGAACUUGAAAAUGAAGACAACAGCACCUUCAAGGAAAAUAGGCAACAAGUCGAACUUUAUGUUGGUCCAAAAGACUCGAUGAAAAGUAUUGCUACUAUUUGUGUCGACGAAGUCUGAAGUAAUCGAGAUACCUGAGUCGUGCUGCGAUGUUAAAUCAGGUGCUACAUGGGAGGUAACCCACGAUCCCCAUGCUUGAUCUACUCCAGGUAUACCCUAACCCUUAGUUUAGUUUUUCUUUGAUUUUAAGUUGAGGGUGUAGGGUAAAGUGUUGUUGUAAAAUUUUGUAACUAACUAGGAGAAAUACAAGUAAAUAAGGCAGUUAACUUAUUUUUGUGAUUUUUUAGCACCUGUCCAAUGUUUUGAAGGUUUAAAUGUGUGAUUUUCAUCUAAGUAUGACCACUGUGCAUCGUUGUAUGGUAUUAGUUCUAGUGACGCAACAAUUAUUGCUAAACAGUUGCAUGAACUAAAUGAGUAGUAACUUGUGAUAUACUUGUGUGUCAUGUGCAUGUGAGAUCUUACUUAAUCCCCUCUGUAUGUUGAAUCCAGAACUUGCCCGAUUAGUCUUACCUAAUUUGUAGGAUAGGGGUUAGGAAGGGAUCAUAGGCUGCUUUGAUAUUAGCCCACUUUUAGCCUAAAUGACCUUUCCUGUAUGUAGAAUAUCCCUUGAUCCCUACUUUGAGCCUGAUUAGCCUAUUUUUUUAUGACACCUGUCCCCUUCCCGUUUAUAUCACAAUGAUCCUGUUUUGGCCCUGGUCCUCCUUGGACACUAUGCACCUUAACGUAGGCAAAUGGCCUAAGUUGAGGGUGGCUAUAUUAUGGUAGCAUGAUGUCAAAUGAGUAUAAAGAUAGGUAGAAAAAAAGAAAAGAAUAAAAAGCUGGGUUCAGUAGAAAACAACAAAAAAAGAAAAGUUGUGAAAAAAACAAGUGAUUGUAGGAAAGAUAGCACCCAUACUGAAUAAGUGUGAUCAAGAAAAGAGAAGAAUAGAAAAAGGUUAAUAAGUGAAAGCCAGGAGCUAGUGUAGCGUCAAGGAGGCUUAGUUACUUUAAAUAUCAUCAAGUAUCAUACCAGCCCCUAGCCUGCAUAACAAUCCAAAGAGAAGACCUAUAGUGAUCUUAGCUGAACUGUCUGAAAACCUUGAUAAUGAAAAUAAGGGCAAGCCUAUGGUACUUGGCAUACAUUGAUUGGAACUUUAUUCUGAGAGUGAGUGUUCUUUAAUUGUCCCCAUGUUACAUAUAUGAUUACUGAUAUGAGAAAAAGGGGAUUUCUUUGUUAUGAGGGCACACCAGAUAUGUUGCUAGUUGCUAACUUGUUCGAAUAGUGUAAUACUAGUCUAUGCAUGGUUGUUAGAGCUGAAUUAAUGUCGUAUCUUGAUUUCUGUGUGUUGCAUUAUUGUUCUUCAAUAAUAUACAUAGUUGUUCUUAAAUUGACUGACCUUGGAGAUGGUGACGAUGUUUUGAGAUAAUAUGGGUGAUUGACUGCCGAAUGUACUUUGUAUCCUCUUGGUUGUGUUUGAGUUGCUUGAGGACAAGCAAUUAUUUUAAGUUGAGGGUGUUGAUGUGUGAGCAGAUGCUAACACAUUUGAGGCUUUUAACUGAGAAUAAUUGCAAGGUCUUAAGUAACUUUUGUCAUUUUUGAUUGUUUUAUCUUUGAUUUUGUAGUAGAAUCCAAGAUGCAAAAGAACCAACAAGGAUUAAAACAAAAGAGUUGAAAUCUAAAGCAAAUAGAAGAGAAGUAUUUCUGACGACAUUCCUGAUAAGUCACCAGCCAUGUGAUAAGUUAUCAUAGAUACCGUCAGCCUUAGAUAGUGAAUGGACCUCAGCUGAAAGUUGUGACGACAUUCCCUGAUAAGUCAUCAAAGAGUUGAUAAGUUUUAAGGUUUCAUCUUCAACCUUAAGUAGGAAGUGUUAAAACUGAAGAAGGAGUUGACGACAUUUGUGAUAAGUCGUCAGACUCCUGAUAAGGUGUCAUGAAUAUCAUCAUCUAAUCUGAGAAAUUGCUGAACACUGUGAUUUUGUUUCCAUAAUUAGAGUGAAAUAUUUAAAGCAUAGUUUAGGGUUUUCUAAUAUUGAUUUCGAACCUGUUUUGGGACACACGUAUAUUGUUACUUUUCUCUCUAGUUUCUUGGCUUGAAAAAUAGUUAACUUUGAAAAGAUUUUCAUCAAUAUUUUGGGAUUUCUAUUGUGAUCUAAUCUGAGAAUCAUUAGUUACUAUUCAUUUUGUGGUAAGUUCAUUUUCAAAUUAUGAAUACAUCUAGUUGUUUUGCUUAUUACAUUAUGAGUAGCUAAAUCUCUUUAACCCGAAUAAUGGGAUCUAUGGGUUAAGUGUUGGUAAGAUGCUAAGUGUUUAAGAUUCUAAAGGUAAUAGGACUCCUUGAUAAUUCUGAGAUUUUAAUUAUUGUCUAUUGGUUUCAAAUGAUAGAUAGAACCUUUUUUGAUUUGAUUGAGAUAAGAAAUCAAAUAUAGUAGGAAGUGAAUUAUUGACAGGGACUUGGAAGCACUAAACUUCCAUUCACUAAUUGACGUUGUAACAAGGUUGAUUAACCGAAUAUGAAGUCUGGUUAGUAAAUAUAAACCCCCUAAGUCCGAGAGAAUUAGGUAAUUAAAUGCUUAAGUAGGUCGAGAGACAUUUAGGUAUAACUUCGUUAAAUAUAAUCUGUUGUCCUACCUAAUAUGAGAAUCGUGAAUCACUAUUAGCAUCUGUCAAGUACUGAAACCCAUAGUGAACAUAAUUCUGGUUUUCCAUAAACUCUUGAUUACAAACACUGAAGCUGAAGUGACCAACAAUUAUUGGAUAAUCUCUAAAACCCCUAUUUUAGGAAAUAUCCAACUAAUAGUUGAUUAAAUCGCAAACAACUUAAGUUCACACCAUAUUCCCUGUGGGAUUCGACCCCAACCUAGUUGGGUUAUAUAUUGACAACGAUGGCUUACAUUCUCAUUAGAGAGGUGUAGUUUGAGCGUUAUCAGGUGUUUGUCACUAUUGAGUGAUGCUGUUCAGUCUCUAGAAUGUUGGUUCUACGUAUAUAAGAGCCAUGUCAACCAUAUUUUAUGAUAUGAUUCGUUAAGAUGUUGAAGUGUACGUGGAUGAUGUGAUCAUUAAAUCUUGCAAGAGUUUGGACCGCUUGGCCCAUUUGGAAAGUUUCUUUGAUCGAUUAUGGAAGUACAAUUUGAAGAUGAAUCCUGCUAAGUGUGCUUUUAGGGUACCGACCAAGAAGCUAUUGGGUUUCAUAAUUAGUAGAAAGUGCAUUAAGCUCGACCCCUCAAAAAUAAAGGUAAUCCAAGAACUGCCUCCCCCUAAGACGAAGAAGCAAGUCAUGAGUUUCUUAGGGAUAUUGAAUUACAUCAUCCGGUUCAUAGCCCAAUCAAUAGUUAUUUGCGAACCAAUCCUCAAGAUGUUGAAGAAAGAUGCAACAAAUAAAUGGAUUGAGAAAAGCCAGAGGGCUUUUGACCGGAUCAAGGAUUAUCUAUCCAUUCUACCAGUACUAGUUCCUCCAAGAGAAGGAAGUCCUCUGCUAUUGUAUUUAUUAAUCUCAAAAAAUGCAUUUGGAUGUGUCUUAGGGUAACAUGAUAAAACUGGAAAGAAGGAAAGAGCAAUUUAUUACUUGAAUAAGAAGAUCACUCCACAUGAGGCUUGUUACAUGCUAUUAGAAAGUAAGUGUUGUGCCUUGACCUGGGUAUCCCAAGAGAUGAGGCAUUACCUAACAUCAUGUACAAUGUAUCUUAUCUCCAGAAUGGAUCCUUUGAAGUACAUACUCCAAAAGUCUAUACCCACAAGGAAAUUGGCCAAAUGGCAAAUGUUGUUGAGUGAGUUUUACAUUGUAUACGUGACUCAAAAGGAGAUCAAAGGGCAAUACCUAGAAGAUUAUCUAGCUAAAAAUCCAGUUGAUGAAGAAUAUGAGCCACUCCAAACUUAUUUCCCAGAUGAAGAGUUAUUGUUGGUAGGAGCAUACAUUGCUGAAGCAUACGCGGAUUAGAGAUCGUUCUUUUAUGGGGCAGUUAAUUUUAUGGUUUCAAGAAUUAGAGCAAUGUUAAUAUUGGAAAUUGGUAAAUAUUAUUCGGUUACCACCAAACUGCACUUUCCAUGCACCAAUAAUAUGGCUGAAUAUAAGGCUUAUAUUUUCGAUCUCGGAUUGGCCAUUGAUAUGAACGUUUGAAAGUUACUAGUCAUUGGAGAUUCUGAUCUAUUGGAUCUAGGAGAAUGGGAAAUAAAGAACCCUAAAAUCAUGCCAUACAUAGAAUGGGUGCGGGAGUUAUGCAAAAGAUUUAAGAAAGUAGAAUUCAAGCAUGCUCUACGGAUACAAAAUGAGUUCACCGAUGCUUUGGCCACUAUAUCAUCUAUGAUUCAACAUCCAGAUCAAAGUUACAUUGAUCCGUUUGGAAUAAGUUUUAAGGAGCAAUAUUCACAUUUUGCACAAGUUAGGGCCGAGCUAGACGAAAAGCCAUGAUACUUCAAUAUCAAGCGGUAUUUAGAAGCCAGAGCAUACCCUGAGGAUUCAAUCGUCAAUCAGAAGAAAAUGAUCCGUCGGAUGGUAAAAAAUUUCAUUUUAAAUAGGGAAGUCCUUUACAAGAGAACCCCGUAUUGGGAUUUUUGAAAUGUGUAGAUUUCAUUGAAGAUACAAAAUUACUUAAAGAAAUUCACGUUGGAACAUGUGGACCUUACAUGAAUGGGUUCACUCUAGCCAAGAAGAUCCUAAAAGCUGGAUAUUUCUGGAUGACCAUGGAAAGUGGUUGUACAAGUUUGUGCAAAAAUGUCAUAAGUUCUAAAUAUAGAGAGAUCUGUUUUUGGUUCUCCCAUAUUAACUUAACAUUAUGAGUUUUCCCUAGUCGUUUGUAGCUUGGGGAAUGGAUGUCAUUGACCCGAUUAAGCCACCAGCUUCUAAUGGACACAGAUUUAUCUUGGUUGCUAUCGAUUAACAUACCAAGUGGGUAAAAGUUUCCUCCUACAGAGCUGUAACCAAGAAGGUAGUAGUAGAGUUUGUCAAAAACAACUUGAUUUGUUAAUUUGGGAUACCCGAGUCAAUUAUCACAGAUAAUGGAGCAAACUUGAAUAACCAUUUGAUGAGAGAGAUAUGUGAGCAAUUUAAGAUUUUUAUCAGAAUCCAACCCCAUGUCGCCCUCAACUGAAUGGAGCAGUAGAAGCUUCCAACAAGAACAUCAAGAAUGUCUUAAUAAAGAUGGUUGAUAGUCACCAAUCAUGGCAUGACAUGUUGCUUUAUGCCUUGCAUGGAUAUCGCACGACGGUCAGAACUUUAGCUGGGGAACUCCUUAUGCAUUAGUCUAUGGGACAGAAUUGGUAAUACCCACUGAAGUUGAAAUACCAUCUUUAAGAAUCAUCCAAGAAGUAAGAUUGAGUAAUGAAGAAUGGGUUCGCACCCAGCAUGAACAAUUUGUGAUGAUCAAUGAAAAGAGUAUGAGCAUCGUAUGCCACAGUCAAUUAUAUCAAUGAUGAAUGAUUCAUUCUUUCAACAAAAAAGUAAGAGCUCAGAUAUUUGAAGUUGGACAAUUAGUGCUCAAACGUAUAUUCCUUACCAAGGAGAGUAUAAGGGGAAGUUCGCUCCAAAUUUGAAAGGGUUGUAUGUAGUCUGCAAAGUGUUAUCAGGAGGAUAUUUGAUUUUGUCUGAGAUGGAUGGCCGAAGGUGGCCUAAGCCAAUCAAUUCUGAUGCAGUAAAGAGAUACUAUGUUUGCUGUGGAAUUUCUUUGUGCUCAUUUCCUUGUAAUUUCUUUCUCAUCUAUAAUCGUUUUUACGUUUUGCAGUAGCUUUAGAAUCCCCUUUCAUUUUAUGUGGGAACUACCUUUGACCUAAUUUCUAUUCAAUGAGAUACAUAGGUGCUACAAAAUCUAGGUCAUAUCACCCCAGGAAAUAGAAAUUGGGCAUAAUUUUUGAGAAGGAAUCUCAAAAAUUCAAAAGAAGAAGAUCAUCCUCUUGCAAGCCAAAUCAAAUUUAAGAGAGAUAUCAGUAAAUGAGGAAGAAAUUUUGAGGAAGACCUCAAAAUUUCAACCAUACUAUACUAAAAUUUAAAAGAUGACAAUAAAGAUUUUGGUGCUGAAAGAGUAGAGAAGACUUCAUGGGACUUUAGUUGCGAAGGCUCGUCUCCAGAACCCUUUACCCAUAAUACUAAAGGAUCUCCAGAGCUUACUGAUAGAAUGACAAAAUGUGUCAACGCCUCGAGUCAAGAAUGUUAAUUAAAGCUCAUAUAUAUUUGAAUUAAUUGACAAAGACUUCUCCCAAUUUUAUAAAAAGAUUUUUGAAAAUACAAUUAUUUGUAGAAGUACUUACUUUAAAUUAAUUUAUACUCUGAUUUUGCCUUAGACCCACCAACUCGGGGAGUCGAAGCAGGAGUCAAGAGAUGACAAACACAUGGAAGAUGAGAACCCAAUGAUGGUGAUGACAGGAGCUGAAGACUGAGAAAGUCAACACAGACCAAUUUUACCAAAAAACUAACAAUUUUUCUGUGGAUACAGGUUAUCCUGAAGUCAACAAAAACCAAUAAAAGUGUCGAUUAUUCACCAUAUUCCUUUGUUUUAAAUGAAUACAAGAAAGACAAAUAUCCAAGGACCGAUAAGAAAGAGCCAGGGUGGUCAGGAGCCGAAAACAACUAAGUUUCCCAAAACUAACAAGUUUUCUAUGAUUACAGGUAUCAUCAAACAUAGAAGCAAAAUGAUGACUUACUCAUACCCCCAUCAAAUCAAGGAUGGAUGUUUGAAAUGGUACAUAUAGAAGGUCUAACAUGCUAGUGGAAUAGUCAAGGUGAUGUUUUCUACAAUCGUUGUGCAUUUAUUUGCAUUCAUCCUCAUCUUUCUACGAUAUCAUACAUGCCAUAAGGGCCAUUCCAAGAGGUCUAUAUCGAGAGUUCCAUGCGAGAGGGCCAUUCCAAGAGGGCCAUGCCAAGACGACCAUGUCGUAAGGGUCAUGUCCUAAAAAUCAUAUUGCCUUCUCUGACUAGUUUUGAAAAGACAACAAUCCAAGGGCAUCUCCAUAAUGAAUUUGAUGCCCAUGAUUGUCAUACAAAGGAGAAGAGUAUCUUCUUGAAGGCUAUUCUGAAGCAUGUUCAUAUAUAUCCAAUAAUCAUGCAAAGACAAAAGAGUUUGGCAUUAAAGGAUAUUCUGAAGCAUUCAUAUCUGAUCAAAUAACGCAAAGGCAAAGCAGUCUGGCGUUGAGAGAUAUUCAUAAACUUCAACUAAAUCAAUCACCAAAGAUUUAAUGGCAUUCACUAUUAUAUCGUAAGAAACAUAUGGUCUGAAGUACGACGUACUAGAUUUUUUAAGAAAUGACAAUCCAAGGAUCAUCUAUAAGUCACAUUGUAUGAAAUAGGAUAGUAUGCGAGAUUACCUAUAAGUUAAUAGAAUAUGGAUCAUCUGUGAACCGCUACAACAUCCUAAUCGGAUAGUGUGCAAGGCUACCCAAAGAUUGACAGUUUGAACAUUGUCCAUAAGUCAUAACUAAAUCCUUAUCUAAAAAUAUGCAAGAUUAUCAGAAUUGAUAUAUUCAAGGGUUGUCUAUAAGUUGUGUCAUAUACAAGAUUAAUUAUGCACAGGAUUACCCAAAGACUACCAAUUUGAAAGAUAUCUAUUAGUCAUAUUAUAUCCAAAGUCGGAUAAUGUGUAGGAAUACCUGAGAGCUAGAGAUUGGAGGGAUAUUCAUAAGUCAUCUCUUAUCCAAGGUUGAAUAAUGUGCAGGACUAGUCAAAACCUAGCAACUUAAGGGAUAUCUAUAAGUCUCCUCAUAUCCAACAUCAUAUAAUGCGUAAGAUUAUACAAAGAUUGGCAAUUCAAGGAAAAUCUAUAAGUAGAAUCGAUAUGAGAGAUGCACAAGACUCCUCGAGGUCAAAUUUGAAAAGCAUUAUAGGUGACCAAAAGGGUUUCCACAUUAGCAUAUGGCUAUACGGUUGCAUGGACUACUCAAUACAUGUUGUCGCUGCCCAAGAGGGCUACCCCACUUUGAAUAAAAUUUUCAAUCAUCAAAACAACUAUUUUAUCUAACGACCAAGAGGGUUGUUGUGUCUGUUAGUGCAAGAAUUGUCGCCCUCCAAAUAGGCACAUAAGAGAAUGAUGUAUUCAUCAGGUAGCAACUCACAUGAGGAUAUGGUAAAAGGUUAUAAAUCUCUUAGUGAAUUAUGUUUAUCACUAAUAAUUUUUUUUAGGUGUUGACGAGAGCAUUCGAAAAGGAUAAAAAUCCCAAACCAAAAUCAUAGAUACAGACGACUCCAAAAAGGACAGAACACAACGUGAAACUUUUUCUUAGCAGCGAAAUGGAACAUAGUUCGAAGAGGAAUAUAAAAAUCUUCGGACGCGAUAUAAAGGACAACUUCCACUACCAUCAAAGCAUAUCCCUAUCAGAAGGAAUGUGGGUGUUUUUGGAUUUUGGUUUCAGUUUCACUUUUGAAAUAUUUGUAAACUCAUAUCGGAGAUAACCAUCUUUUUCCUUCAAAUUCGAGUGAUAGCAUACCUAAAACUUUGGAAAUUAUCUGCGGAAAAAUUCUUUCAUGGAUGUAAAUAGAUCCAUAUUCGUGGUUAAGAGGUUACAAACCUCAUUUCCGUAACUCAAUUUUCUAUCACUCAUCCUAAGCCAAAGGUCGUCUUAGCAUAAAAAACUAUAUUUUUCAACGAUCAAGUCGAACUAUAGGUUGUCUGAUUUCCUAAUUCUCAAGGAUAUAUAGGCUGGGCUCUUUGUUGAAAACUUGACUGCAUCCCCCCUCCCCCAAUCUGCUUACUCCCCAGCUUUUUGAUUUCACUAAAGUUCAAAACAAGAAUAGCUUAUGAAUUCUUUGAAAAUCAUGUUUAGAAUCAAGCGUAAUGAAAUAUAGGUGGCUUGAGUUCUCCUGAAACCUAAGAUAUGUAGGAAAUUCGAUAUUGAGGUCCAGCUAUAAUUCCAUAAAACUCGAGUGAAAAUCAACCUCUUUUGGAAAUAAAUUAGUGAUCGGACAAAAUUAGGAACAUCAAACUCCCUUUGCCUUGAGUUAGUUGCAUCCACCCUAUCCAAAGGGAGGGGGCAGUUAUUGACAUCUAAUUUUUUCCCUCCGCGAUCGGAUUUGUUUAUGAGUCUCUUUAAUUUUAAAUAAAAUUACAAUAUUUAUUUUAGCCAGAUAAAAAUUUUCAAAGUAUUUAUCUAGGUAAAUUUGUCUUUUAAGUAGCGACUAUAUACGUUUGUAUUCAUAUAUACAAAAUUGUAUAAUUUUGGUACUUAAAUAAUUAUUCUGAGAAAAUUAAAUUUUAAUCAAGGUUAUCUUAAAAAUUAAUUCAGAUGAGUAAAAUCUUGAUUGAGGUAUAAUUUAUCUUCAAAAAUAAUUUAUUUGAAAAAUAUUUAUUUAAUUUUCUCAAAUCAAGAAACUCGGGAUUAAAUUAGGUAUUAAAUCAUAUUCAAUUUUAAUUUAUUUGGCCACUUAAUUCAAUUAAUUUGGCUAAAUUUUGAAUCUUGGGUUAUUACCUUAAUUUUAUUCUACCCAACCCCUUUCCUCCUUUAUUUUUUAAACUUGGACUGAACUCCUUACAUAACCAGCAACCCAUCCCUUUUUAAAAUGGAAAAAUUACAUAAAUCCCAUAUUUAAGACACCAUAUUACCUAAUAUCCCUUAAUAUUUUAAAAAUUACAUAAAAUCCCUAUUUUGUAUAUUUACUGGUGAUACAUAUGCUAUAACUUGCACACCCUAUUUUCUCUCCACUUUUCACUCUCAUCUCUCUCAUCCUUUUACGCAUCAUCCCUUUUUUUUCACAAAUUACUCCCCUAAAAUCUCUCCCAUUUUAGUAGAUCCUGAAUCAAUUUCAUUUUCCAAUAUUUCAACUGAUUUCAACUGUAAUCAUUCAUCCUUUAAUUUAAAAAAUUGACAACUUUUUCAAAGAGGUUCGCUUUUGGUUUAUGCUUUAAAAUCCUUUUGUGUUAAUUUGUUUUGUCUUCAAUGGAUAAUGAAGAUUCACCCUUAUUCAGCUUGAGGAUUUCACAAAUUGAAACUCAAAAAGUUGUUCAUUAUAGUAGUCAAGUCUUGGGUUUUACUUCGGGCAAUUUUGAUUACACCAAAUUAGUUUUUUAGUGAAAAUCGAUUAAAGCAGCGGAACGACCCUGAAUAAUUGAAGAUUUUAAGAGAAGCUUUAGCUACUAAAAAUCAAGUUUCCAAUAUGCAAAUGGAAGAUCAGGAUGAAAUUGAACAAAUUUCCGUCGGAUCAGGUAUUAUUUUCGCAACUAAUUCAUGAAUGGUGAUUCAUAUGGGUGAUUCAUAUAAUUACAGAUUAACUGGUUACUUGGUGAUUCAUACGGGUGAUUCAUAUGGGUGAUACACUAAAAUAAUAUUUUAAUUGGUGAUACAUAUAUUGUGCUGGUGAUUCACAGAUAGUGAUUCAUUUGACUGAUUCUUUUAAUUGGUGAUUCAUAUAAGGAAAAAGGCUCAAAUAUGCCACUGAACUAUCAGAAAUGACUCAUUUAUGCCAUCUAUUAAAAGUUGGGCUCAUUCAUGCCAUCGUCGUUAUAAAAUCGAUCCAUCCAUGCCAUUACUUUUUAACGGUGGUUUUCAAAAAAAUUGCUUUGCCACGUGGCUUCUUAUUGGAGGCACUUCAUUUUUUAAAUUUCUUUUAAUUUUUUUUUAAACUUUUGAUCCAUUAAGAAGAAUUCACCCACACCCAACCUAUCAUCUUAACCCACUUUAAUAUUACUCUUAAUUUUGACCCGAGAUUUAAACAUAUAUAUAAUCAUUUAGUCAUCAAACAUAAAAUUUACACACUUGAAUACUAUGUUUAAAAUAAUAUAGGUUAGACUAAUUAAUAAUUUAAAAUGGCAAAUGAAUAAAUUGUGAUUAAAAAAUAAUUUAUUUUUAGGCGUGUUAGAGUUUAAAAAAAUAUAAAAUAAAUAAAAGACCACCAUCCAGGUAUGUAGGGUGUUUUCAGUCCACAUAUUUUUUAUUGUUGUUUCGUACCUACUCAUGCAAACACUAUUUAUGUGUAUAUUAAUGGAUCUUUAAUGUGUAUAUUAAAGAAUCCACCCAUGCAGAAAAAAGUUAUGUUCUACGUCUCAUCCAUGUUAAAGAGUAUAAAGGCUAUCAAAUAGUCAAAUUCACGAAAUAAUUAAGACUAUCCAUAAUUCAAUUAUAAAACUUAUAAUCCAAAUAUAGAAGGGAUUUUUAGGUAUUCUUCCUAAUUAAAAGUUGUAGUCCUUCAUUUAUGUGGAAUUCUCGUCGUCCUAAAUUAUGUGAUGAUGUUCGGAUUUCGAGAGUCAAAAAAAUAAUUUUUAAUCACAAUUUAUUCAUUUUCCAUUUUACAUUAUUAAUUAUUCUAACCUAUAUUAUUUUAAACGUAGUAUUCAAGUGUGUAAAUUUUAUGUUUGAAGACUAAAUGAUUAUACAUACAAAAAAAAAAUAUAUAUUUAAAUCUAGGAUAAAAUUAAGAGUAAUAUUAAAGUGGGUUAAAGGGAUAGGUUGAGUGUGGGUGAAUUCUUCUUAAUGGAUCAAAACUAAAAAAAAAUUAAAAAAAUUAAAAAAAUAACGUGGACCUCUAAUAAGAGGCCACAUGGCAAAGUAGUUUUUUAAAAACCACCGUUAAAAAGUAAUGGCAUGGAUGGACCAAUUUUAUAACGGCGAUAACAUGAAUGAGCCUAACUUUUAACGGAUGAUAUAAAUGAGCCAUUUCUGAUAGUUAAGUGACAUAUUUGAGCCUUUUCCCUUCAUAUAAUUACUUGGCGCAAUCAAGUGAUGUUGGAAUGAUGAGGUAUGCCUCAGAGAAAUAUAUAUAGCAAUUAUCCUUUUUAUUAAUUUUUAUUAUUUAGGCGCAAACUGAUUUUUACAACAUGACCCAAAAAAUUUAAUGGUUGCAGUAUGAAUGUAGCUUUUCUGGUAGCAGAUGUAUCAUAGUGAUACAUCUGAGUCUCAUAUGUAUCACUGUGAUACAUAUGUUGUCUAACUUGAAUUCACUUGAAAAUUUAAUAAGGAAACAUGGCUUAGUGUUAUCAUUUGAACAACUGAUUAUUAUUAUUUGUUGAUGAUUGAAGGAAAUGAAUGUUGAUGAUUUGUACUAGCGAAUUCCGACUAGUCUGGUUGAAGUAUAGGUUUCAUCAGAUAACAUUGUGAUCUUUAUUCCUUUAGCCGUGACGAUUGUUUUGGUUAUUAUUGCACAAGAUUUGAUCUUCAUAUCCAAUGUUUAAAACUUUUGAACUACAUUCUGCUGCAUUUUUUUAUGAGCAAUAUUUAAUUUCUAUGCUGCAUCCUGUUAUAAGCGAUGUGCAACUCGAUACAUUUGUUGUGGAUUUAGCUUGCUUCUACGCUUCAUGCGAAGUUGUGAUUACUAUGUCUUUCUUUAUAGUAAUUAAUAUUUCAAGUCUUGCGUAUGCCUUAUAUGAAUCACCUGUUCUUACACAUCUUAGUUUUAUAUUAGAGCAUAUCGAUGUGGUAUUCUACUAUCUUAGAAAGAAAGUAAAACUGGAUACAACCAGUGAAUAUAGAUAUACUAUUGUGAAUUGUGUGUUCAUGAACUACAUCUAUGCUACAUCAUUUACUAUCACCGAAGUCAUUCUGAGAUUGAUCUUAGCUCACAUGAAGAAAACGUUCUCUCAAUGAAAGUGACUUCGGUGGAGAGAUCAAUUUGUCAGAUUAUGCAAGGACUAUGUAUUCCAGCUGGUAUUCCGUAACAUUUGAUUAACGAGGUGUACGUGCCAAUAAAUUGUAAAGGAUAUUUUCACUGUGUUGGCACUCAAGGAAAGAUGCAUUCGUGUGUAUGACUCAUUGAAAGGUCAUAGAGGUCAUGAUGAUGAGAUAAAGGAGCUUGCUGAAAUAUUAUCAACUUAUUUGACAAUAUCUGAUUUUUUGAGAAAAAAGAUCACACGGCCUGGUCACUUCUAGAUGCAUGCAACGAAAAGACAAACCAGCAUGCAUUCGAUUUUCACAUUGUUGACAGAAUUGUGUAACAAUCAAGCGGCACGUCGUCAGUAUCAUUUAUUCUUUUGAAUAUAUUAAUUUAAGUAAGAGCUCACGACAACACAUAAAAUACCUACUUUUCUAUUUUCCAAGGAUUGUGGCUUGUUUGUUACCAUAUAUGCUGAUUUUUUAAGUGACCGGCAUCAAAUACCAUCUUCAGAGUUUGAUCCGAAAAAGCAUCGCACAAGAUACGCAUCCUUGAUAUGGGACUGUGGUGUGAACAAGACAUGCACUGGAUAUGUUAGUGACAACCAGGAUCCGCUUAGGCCUAAACGCACCUUCAUUCGAUCUGAGGAUACAAAGAUGAUUGAUGUUGAACCGUAGUUGUCUUGUAUUUAUUGUGUGACAAAAGGAUAUUGGUUUCUUAUGUUUGUGGAAUUCUGGUUUUUCAAUUUUUUUUAUGUUUGAAGAUUUCUGGAUAUAUCAUCACAAUGUGUAUUUUUUGUAUAAAAUGUCAUGAUAUUUUAUCCUAGAAGCAGAUCUGGUAUUAGUACUUUUGUGGGCAGUUUAACUUACAUAAUCUAUCACUAAUUUUCAGUUUUAUCUAUUGAUAUGUAGCAUCAUUAUUUUGUUAACAAUCACAAGUGAUCUAAUAUGUAUCACCAAAUACCAUAUGAAUCACCAUUUAUAUUAAUAACCAGUUUUAUAUGAAUCACCAAAUACAACUUAAUAUGUUAAGUUGCAUUCUGUUAUCACCAUUUAUAUUCUGUAAUCAUAUGAAUCUCCACUUUCAUGAAUAACCAAUUAAAUAAAUCACUAAUUAUAUGAAUCUCCAUUUUUUAAAUGGUUAAAAUGAAUCACCAGUUAAAAAUAAUUAAACUUGAAUAAACUGUAACCAAUAUGUUGAAAAUGGAUCACCAUGUUAAUUUUAAUUUCUAAUAUGAAUCAACUAAUUUUACACAAAUGGUUUAUAUGAAUCACAUAACAAUAUUAAGUUUUUUAAUAUGUAUCACCAAAUACUAUAUGAAUCACCAUUUAUAUUAUUAACCAGUUUUUAUAUGAAUCACUAAAUACAACUUAAUAUGUUAAGUUGUAUUCUGUUAUCGCCAUUUAUAUUUUGUAAUCAUAUAAAUCUCCAGUUUCAUGAAUAACCAGUUACAUAAAUCACUAAUUAUAUGAAUCACAAUUUUUCAAAUGGUUAAAAUGAAUCACAAGUUGAAAAUGAUUAAAACUGAAUAAACUGUAACCAAUAUGUUGAAAAUGAAUCACCAAUUAACAUGUUAAUUUUAAUUUAUAAUAUGUAUCAACUAAUUUUACAUGAAUUGUUUAUAUGAAUCACAUAACAAUAUUUAUUUUUUUAAUAUGUAUCAAUUGAAAAAAAUAUGAUUAAAAUGUAUCACCAAUUAACCUGUUGAGAUUAAAUAGUAAUUGUAUCACUUUAUAAUUUCGUUUAGGAAAUGUAUCAGUAGCAUUCCUCAUGAACUUUAACAUAUCUGCAUAAGAUAAUAAUACUAAUGAAUUAUAAACAAUGAUAUUAAAAACAUAUAUCUCUUUCAAUUGUAAACAGAAUAUAUCAAGCAAGGAACAUUUGAGUAAUUAACUCGAACUAUUAAAUUCAAAACUUUGAACUAAGUAAACAUGUCUAAUUAAACUUUAAAGACAAAAUGUCACAUCUCUGUUGGAAAAUAGUUGCAAGUACGUCUGUUGUGACCUUUAUAACCACACUUGCCAUAACGAUUUGAUGUUGAUGAAAAAUUUUCACUACUUUUCUUUUUUCUACCCUUCGUGGAUCUUCCUGGUGGGCGUUUAUAUUUUGGAGGCAAAACCACAUCUUCUAACACUUCCAGUGGUACAUGUCAGUCUCGUUUAUCGGGCAUUGAACAAAGCGGCAUUGCAUAAGUCUUCACCAUUGCCUCCUUCUUGUAGUAAUCUGAGGAGUAUGACUUCAUUUCCUUUACAUGUUUGCUUUUCAAAUCAACAAUAGGGUAUGCGCAUGGUAUCUCAUCAAGCUAAAAUCUGCCACAGUUGCAAGUUCUAUUAUCCAACCGAACAAUGUAUUUUCUUCCUCUUCAUACACACUGUAUAUGUAGUUAGUUGAUUUCCUAAUCUGAAAAUAUUAUUCCAAAAUAUUUUAUGUAAGUCAAUAUAAUAUAUGAACCAUAAAAGACCCAGAUUAAUUAAAUAUAAAGAACAAAAAUUCAACAGAAGGCAUAUUUCAACAGAUGUAUCAAAAUGAUACGUAUGACUCCCAGAUGUAUCACUUUGAUACAUCUGUUAUCAGAAUGUUAAAAAAAAUCUGCAAAUCAACUUAGUUAAAGUAUAAUGAUUAUUAUUUUAACUUACCAUCAUACGCGAUAACUUUGCCUGGUUCAAUUGAAGAAUUUGUUGAAACCGACCUAUAAAUGUAUCAGUACCAAACUUACAGGAGGACUUGAAUACCCAACUUUAUUCCGGCGAUUUGUACAGCAAUACAUAACAAAAAUAUACGUCAAAAAAAUAUAUUGCCAAUAUGAAGUUGCGUUAAUCUGUUUAUAGAUGAAUCACCAUAUACUAUAUUAAUCACUAGUUCAAUCAAAAAAUGAACCAAUUAACCAAUGAAUAAACAGUUAAUAUGUAUUACAAAUCUGAACUUAAUCAGUUAUUCUUUUUUAUUAUAUGACUCACCAGUUAUAUGAAUCACCAAACAUAUGAAAAAAUGUAACUGUAUGUUUACUGUUGUACGUGUCGUCUGCUUCUGAUGUAUGUGCAUAUUUCAUCGAAUGGAAUUUUAUUUUACGACAUAUCAAAACAUAAAAUAGAGCAUCAGUGUUAGCAGAUUAGAAUUGAGAGGGACGAGCAAUAAAAGGCCUCCUUCACACAAAAGGACACACCUGUCGUCGCACUAGGUGGUUUAUGUCUACCUCUUCCUUAGCACCAGAUUGUGCAAGUCCAAUCAUCACAGCUUUGCCUCCAUCGCGGAUGCUUUGCACACACUGCAAGAAUGUUUGUGGUUUACCCAAAGCUUCAACAACUACAUCAACACAGUCACGAGUUCCAUUGAAAAAGUUCAGAAAUUUUAGAUGGGAGAUCGAUUGUUUUGUUCCAAAAUUAGAAAAAUUUAAACUUCUAAUCUAAUUUGCUACAAUUUUGAACUCUUGUCAAAUGGAAUUGCAUUUUUAACACUUGUAACAGUUUUGGCAAAAUUUUCGUUGUUAAAUCAGAGAAAAUUAAUUGCUUCCUUAAACUACAAGAUCUGUUUCAUAUGUAUCACCAUCUAAUAUGUAUCACCGCUUAGCAAAUGUAACACCAUUUCAAAAUUCCGGAAUAAGAUGUAAUUAGCAAAAAAAUCAGAAUUUUAUAUAAUAUUACUUAAAAUAUCAGGGAUUUAUGUAAGUUACUCUUUUAAAAUUGACUAACACCAUUAGCCCAACCAUAAAAUUGACACAAACCGGCCCAACAAACCUUAGUUCCUGGCCCAUCCCCAUUCUUUUAAUUCCUCUUCUCAACAGCGACAACAAACAACAAAAAACAACAUUCACCAACAGCAAACAAACAACGACCAACUGAACCUAAAUUGAUUCCAACAACCCGGCAUUGGUGACCCAUACCCGCGUCCAGUUCAACCAAUAAACGAAGACAACCAGCUUUAUUAAGGAAAAAUUACAUAUUAUCAAAAAAAACUAUAUUAAUCACAUGAUAUGGUUAAUGUUUUAAAAAAUUACAAUUCAUAGUCAUUUGGUAGUUAUAAGUUAGCUUUUUUUUAUGGACCCUGUAUACAAAUAUAUUAAGAUUUGCAUAUAUCAAUUUUCUCUCUCAUAUAUUUAUUUUUGAUAUUUUCUUUCUAUUCUCUCUCGAUCCUAUUGACUCAAAAAAAAGCAACAAUGGAAUAUCAAAACAUAAGAUUUUUUAUGAUAUCUUCUUCAACUAUUUUUUUUCUUAAUUUUCUCUCAAAAUCACUCUAAUAUCCUUGAUAUUAAAUUAAAGAAACGACAACAUUGGCAACAUCAUAAUACAUGAUUAUUCAAGAGAUCUUCUUCAACUUUUUUCUCCUUAUUUUCUCUCAAAGUCACCCUAAUAUUACAAAAUAUAAUCCUUGAUUUUUUAGUGAUAAAUUAUUUUUGAGGAUUUUUCACCACAUAAAAUCAGUUUAGGAUAUUUAUUGACAUUAGAUUUAAUUUUUUUUAAUUUUUUAUAUAUUGUGUCAGUUAGUCAUUAAAUUUCUUCGUGUUCAUAUACUUUACGAAAAAAAAUAAAAAAGGGGGAGCACUCCCCCGUUUUUAUAAUUUUUUCAUUUUUGUGGAUUUUUAUAUAUUAUAAUAUAAAUUUUUUUAUAUUAUACAUAUUUUUGUAUGGAUGAUUUAUCCAAAAAAAAAAAGGAAAGAAUUUUGCAUCUUCUAGCAAGACGGAAAGGAAAAAAUAUUUUAAGAUAUCUAAAUCUAAAAGGAGGAGCAAUGAAGUUGACAAUGAUUACAAGGAUUUUUUGUAUGUAUUCUCAUGAAACAGAAUUGUUGGUCAAUGUACAUUUUUGUUCCAAUAUAUGUAGAUACAUACUUUUUUUUGUGGAAUAAGACACGCAUAUAUAUACAGAGUUAGAGUGUAUGUAUGUAUAUACAGUUUGUAUUUUUGAUAUAUGUAUAUAUAAGUUACAUAUAUGUAUAUACAGUUAACUUUCACAUAUGCAUUUUUGAAGAAUAAUGCAUAUGCAGAUAUAUACAGUUUAGAGUGCAUAUAUGUUUAUACAUUCAAAUUUGUUAUUAUGUAAAACAUUCAAAUUUGUAUAUGCAGAUAUACAAACAACAAAUAUACAAAUAAUAAACAUAUAUGUAUAUGUUUAUUUCAUUUGCAUAUAUGUAUAUACAAAUAUACAAACAACAGCUAUACAAAUAUGUAUAUUUUGUUUGCAUGUAUAUUUCGUUUACAAAUAAUAUUCAAAUUUGUAUAUACAGAUAUACAAACAACAGAUAUAUAAAUAAUAAACAACAAUUUUGAUUUGAAUAUAUGUAUAUUUCGUUUACAAAUAAUAUUCAAAUUUGUAUAUACAGAUAUACAAACAAUAGAUAUACAAAUAAUAAAAACAAUCUUUGUAACCUUUAAAACAAAUAUACAAAUACAAUUAUACAUUUAUGUUAACAGAUAUAUAGAAAUUUAAAUAUAAUAUUAAUAGAUAUACAUAAAAAAAAAUAUUAAAAGACUGUCAAUAUGUAUAUUAUGAAAUAUGCAGUAGAGUAAUGAAUGAAUAUAUCACACAAAUUGCAAUUACAAAUGGGAUUUAGAAAAGAAAAAAAAUAACACAAACAAGGAUUAUAACCUUUUAACAACUUCUGUGAAUUUUUUUUUCAAAAUUACGAAAAUAAAAAUUGAAACACAAAAUUACAAUUGAAGUUAUUGUAUACAAAAAUAAUAUACUCCCUCCGUCCUAUUUUAUGUGUCAUUAUUUUUUUUUGUCCGUCCCAAAAGGAAUGUCACAUUUCCUUAUUUGGUAACUAUUUAAAGACACAAUUAAACUUUUACCCUUAUUGGUCCCACUUAUAAGGGUCCACUUAAUUAAAAAUAAUAAUAGUACAUUGUUUUAAUCAAGGACAAUUUAGAAAAUUAGUUAUAGAUACUAUAAUGAUGAGACUAUACCUAAAUUUUUGCCAUUUAUUAAUACCAACAGCAUUGACAAACAACAACAAAAACCCGACCUAACCCAAUUUAACAACAGCGUUUUAACAGCUAAAACAACAGCUCAGCAAUAACGGUCAAUUCGUACCACCCUUAUCCCCAAAUACAAAUUUCAAAACACUCUUCAAAAUUCCUCAAAUGCCCCCUCUGUUCCAAUGCCCCCUCUGUUCCCCCAAAAAAUAGUCCAAAAAUCUCCUAUAAAUACCCAAGAACAAGAGUUAAGGAGGGGGAUUUCUUCGGGGAAAACUUGGAGAUUCUGGAGGAGCAUUCCUCUAAUCUCACGUAACCGAGAAAUUCGUUGAAUUCAAGCUAAAUUCUGAUUUUUGAAGUCGUCUUUGUCAUCUCGUCGUCUCGGUUCCUGCGUCUAAAAAGGUAAUACUCCCCUUAUUCUCAUCUUAAUUGCUCACUGCUUAUUUGAUUUUAUUCUAAUUUGGCUUGUUAGUUUCAAUAUGGUUUGGUUGGAUUACCUUUCUGGGGUGUUGGUUCGAUUACUGAAAUGGCAUAGUAACGAUCUAAAUGUGAAUCCCCUGUCAAAUCCAUUAACUAAAGAUUGCCGUUGUGAUCCUUUGCUAGUCAUCGAUGUUUUCCUGUUAGCCCGACGUUAUCUCUUUGUUUGUUGAGCAUGUUUUUUUCAUCUAUGGACAUCAGUGCAACCAUCUAGAUUAGUAAAUGGUGUUUUUUUGAGUCGAAAACCAACCCCUUUAUGGUCGGCCAGAUCAUGUCAGGUUUACGAACCAUGCUUCUCGGGGUAGCUAUUAGUUUUUUCCCAAAAACGUGAAACACUCAAAUUUUUAAAAAAUUAAGUUUUGUUUUCUUUACUUGAUCGUGUUGGUCAACUCUUGGUUGCAUUAAAGGGGCAAAUGCUUGCAGUAGAGAAACAUAUAGUAAAUGUUGAGCAUACUGCAAGAUCACACUUUCUUGAGUAGGUGUUAAUUAAGUUUACAUAUUGGUCUGCAGAUUGUUUUGCGGGUACAUGAUCGUCUAUGAGAUGGAUUGAUUUAGAUUUAUUUAAGGCUUUGUUACUUCUUAUAAAAUUAGUAUUAAGACUGGCCAUGUCUUUGGAAAUCAUGUGGUUAAAAAGAAGAGAAAUCUAGAAUAGACAUCUUGUGUGAAAAUUAACUUCUCCUCCAAGCUCGGGUUCUUCCUUAUUUAUGCACUGGUCCUCGGUCCCUAGUGUUCUUGCUUGACUUUAGACUUCAGGAAAAUGUCUUCGAAUCUAUAAAGUGUUUUCCUAUUGAAUAAUUAAAAUCAAGAACAAUGACGAAUUAUCUCUAUUUGGUUCCAAUAUGCGUAUUUGAGUAGACUUGUGAUUCAAGUUUGCUCUUUUUAAAGUUUGAUCUUCUCUUUGGUCUUCACUAUCAAUGUCCCUUUAAUGUAUAUUGAAUUUGUUUGUUGAGGCUAAUCCUUUUCUCUCUUUCUAUGCAUAAAUCUGCCUCACCGAAUCCACGGGCUUUACAGGACAAAAGCACUUGUUGGUAUACACCAAUAUACACCACAUAUAUGGGCUUUAAAGGAUAAAAUCACCGGCUGGUAUACACCAAUAUAUGCCACAUAU
rnacentral:lncRNA from 1 species